rnacentral:rRNA from 1 species
GGAUUAGUGGCGAACGGGUGAGUAACACGUGGGCAAUCUGCCCUUCACUCUGGGACAAGCCCUGGAAACGGGGUCUAAUACCGGAUACCACUCCUGCCUGCAUGGGCGGGGGUUGAAAGCUCCGGCGGUGAAGGAUGAGCCCGCGGCCUAUCAGCUUGUUGGUGGGGUAAUGGCCCACCAAGGCGACGACGGGUAGCCGGCCUGAGAGGGCGACCGGCCACACUGGGACUGAGACACGGCCCAGACUCCUACGGGAGGCAGCAGUGGGGAAUAUUGCACAAUGGGCGAAAGCCUGAUGCAGCGACGCCGCGUGAGGGAUGACGGCCUUCGGGUUGUAAACCUCUUUCAGCAGGGAAGAAGCGAAAGUGACGGUACCUGCAGAAGAAGCGCCGGCUAACUACGUGCCAGCAGCCGCGGUAAUACGUAGGGCGCAAGCGUUGUCCGGAAUUAUUGGGCGUAAAGAGCUCGUAGGCGGCUUGUCACGUCGGAUGUGAAAGCCCGAGGCUUAACCUCGGGUCUGCAUUCGAUACGGGCUAGCUAGAGUGUGGUAGGGGAGAUCGGAAUUCCUGGUGUAGCGGUGAAAUGCGCAGAUAUCAGGAGGAACACCGGUGGCGAAGGCGGAUCUCUGGGCCAUUACUGACGCUGAGGAGCGAAAGCGUGGGGAGCGAACAGGAUUAGAUACCCUGGUAGUCCACGCCGUAAACGUUGGGAACUAGGUGUUGGCGACAUUCCACGUCGUCGGUGCCGCAGC